GGAAACCUUCAUGUAUACUCAGUAAACCCAAGCUUAGUCCAGUCUGGUAGUUCAUCCAUUACAGCUUUCACUUCAUAUUGAGACAAAUCAGCAGUUCCAUGAAGCAAUCAUCUCCAAUUGUUUGAGAAACUUAAAAGACUCUCAAAAACCUUUCAUAAAGGAAAUCUGAUGCAGGUUAGAAAAUUGAUAAGGAAUAUCAUCUAUAACUAGGUAAGUCUUGUUAUCAUAUAUAUUUACAUUCAUAUACAUAUAUGUAUUUAUUCCUAUGUAUGAACACAAACAUGAAAUAUUAACAAUGUAUAUCAUC
rnacentral:lncRNA from 1 species